rnacentral:lncRNA from 1 species
CCUGGCGUCUGCUACUAGCUGGGCUAACCUGGUGUAUAGACUGUAGAUAAUUAGAAGACAGUGAGCAUCAAAUUGUGAAAUCAACACAGUAAUACUAGUGUUACCAGUUACUGUAAGUUACUGCCACAUGUUGAGCAAGACAUCACAUGUAUUAGAAUUGUACUCACACCCUCAGACACCAAAGGGAUAGUCUCUUGAAGUCCUCCAGAGUGGGCAGAAGCCUUCGGGACAGCAGGUACUCUUCGUCUGUAUCGCUGCAGGUCACCAACAACUAACUUUAACUUCCUUCAUACUGGACACAAACAUCACCGACAUUUGUAGUCUGUGGAUUGGGUGGGCUAUUUACAGAUGGACUAUGUACAGCUGCAGCGAUCGGUUAGCUGCUCAGAUAGCUGAUGUUUAAAGUUAGUGAGGGAAAUAUAAGUCUCCAGCUUCAGCAAUUUUUGCAAUUCGUUCCAGGCACUGGCAGCAGAGAACUGGAAGGAAAGGCGGCGUUGGCUUUGGGGAUGACCAGUGAGAUAUACCUGCUGGAGCGCGUGCUAGAGGACAGUCUGUUUCACAACAGUAACAACAGAACGGUUUCUGAUUGUCUGUGACAGGUGGCCGACACACCCUGUUUUAGACACACCAGUCCGCCCACGGGGAAAAAGUCUGAAUGUGCUUCAGGUGUGCACUGCAUACACAAUACUUCUUAGCCUCCAGAGCUUUUACUGUCAUUAAAAUCUUUUACUGCUGUCACGCCCUGAUCUGUUUCACCUGUCCACCCACCUCCAGGUGUCGCCCAUCUUCCCAAUUAUCCCCUGUGUAUUUAUACCUGUGUUCUCUGUCUGUUUGUUGACAGUUCGUCUUGUUCGUUCAAGUUUACCAGCGUUUUCCCUGUCAGCUCCUAUCAUUUCCCAGCCUCUCUUUUCUUGUCCUCCUGCUUUUUGACCUUUGCCUGCCUUGAUCCUGUACCCGCCCGCCUGACCUCUCUGCCUGCCCCUGACCCUGAGCCUUCCUGCCGUCCUGUACCUUUGCCUUACCCUGGAUUAUCGACCCCUGCCUGCCUUGACCUGUCUUUGCCUGCCC